AACGCGAAGAACCUUACCUGGUCUUGACAUCCACGGAAGUUUUCAGAGAUGAGAAUGUGCCUUCGGGAACCGUGAGACGGGUGCUGCAUGGCUGUCGUCAGCUCGUGUUGUGAAAUGUUGGGUUAAGUCCCGCAACGAGCGCAACCCUUAUCCUUUGUUGCCAGCGGUCCGGCCGGGAACUCAAAGGAGACUGCCAGUGAUAAACUGGAGGAAGGUGGGGAUGACGUCAAGUCAUCAUGGCCCUUACGACCAGGGCUACACACGUGCUACAAUGGCGCAUACAAAGAGAAGCGACCUCGCGAGAGCAAGCGGACCUCAUAAAGUGCGUCGUAGUCCGGAUUGGAGUCUGCAACUCGACUCCAUGAAGUCGGAAUCGCUAGUAAUCGUGGAUCAGAAUGCCACGGUGAAUACGUUCCCGGGUCUUGUACACACGC
rnacentral:rRNA from 1 species